rnacentral:lncRNA from 1 species
UUUUUUUUAAUUUUUCUGGUAUCUUCAAAUUGAGAUGUAUGGAAAUUUUGUUGUACCUGUGUGUGUAUACUCAUUUUCUUCUGUUAUCUGUCACUGUACCAAUUUCUGGUCCCAACAUGGCAUCACUUCAAAAGUUAUGAACCAUCAUAAGUUUCAUUGGUUCAUCAAUAGGCAACUUACGGGAUUCUGGAAAAAUGCAUGGAAAAUAUAAUUAUAGCCGUAUGCUCUUUUUAUCAGCUGUCUUGCAAUGUUAACAUUAUUACACUGUUAUUGAUCCUACAUUUUCAUUUAAAGCAUUCAAAAAAGGAACUGCUUUUCUUGCUUGGGACAUGGGAAUGUCAUCUUUCUGUUGGUUUACAGUAACUCAUGCUUUGGCAAUGUGUUCUGGAUAUGUUGACUCAUGUUAAGACAGUUUUUUUAGUGUUAGCAUUUACCAUAUAGAUCUUCAUGCAUAUUGCAUUUCUGGCCUCUAGAAGAAGGGGAAAUAGGUAGAUAAUUUUAGUAUAAUUGCAUAAUCUAUGUGUUUGAAUCAUACCUGAGCUGUCCUUUGGUUCAGAUUCUUGUGGCAGCAAAAUGCCAGUUUUGCAAUCUCAAGACACUAUCAUCGCUUUGAUGUGUUUGAAGAGGCUGAAGCUAACAAAGCUGCAGGAAAGUGUGACAAUUCAUCCAUUGAUUACCAGAUUGAAUUUUAUAAAAAAGAGGGUUUAUCGCCAUAUUCCAAGGCUAAGCUUCCAAUAACCAGUGGUAGGUGUAUAAUCCUAUGUGUGUGCGCACGCGCUUCAUGUUCUUGAAGAUUUGUAUUUCUUAUGUUUUCUGCUCAAUGACUGACCUUUUGCAGAUGUUCCUGAAGGUUGUGUUAUCAUAAGGGAACAUAUUCCCAUCACAAAUCUGUUUACCUGCCUGUGGUUCAAUGAAGUUGAUCGGUUUACUGCCAGAGAUCAGUUAAGCUUCUCCACUGUGAGGGAUAAAAUAAUGGCUAAAGUUGAUUGGAGCAUCAAUAUGUUUUUGGAUUGUGAGAGGCGUAAUUUUGUGAUUCAGGUACAUGUUUAUGUGUUGUCUUUCUAUUAUCAGGGGAGAUGAAACCAGUGCAUCUAAAACUAAGCAAUUUGUUAUUGUUCUGCUCUAAAUGAACCUUAUAAGUGAACUUUUCUAAUGAAGUUGGCCAAAAAAGCUGAAUGACUUUAAUUUUAUUGUUAUAUUAACUUAUGUAUUUUUUUUCCUUCCAUGUUUAACAUUGAGCAGCACCUCCUUCCUCUGUUGAAAGAGGAAAGUAUGACAAUUUAUUAUUGGUCUGCUCUAUGUUGCCUGUUUGUCUUAUUUAUUAUUGGUCUGAUUUUAGCCGCAAAUGUUCCUUGUUUCCCAAACACAGAGUUCUGGCAACUAAAUGGAUCCUCUGACAACAGUGUAUUGAACAAAGCUGUCCAGCUACUAUAUACAGUGCACGAGACUGAUCUCUAUGGGUGUCUUUGAUCCCUUCUCUAUUUUUUGAUCCUCCAAGUGUUUCUUUGGGUGUUUAAUGUGGUUACUCCAUGCAUUUUAUCAUGUUCUCCAUACAAGUGACAUUUGAGGCUAAAUUCCGUCCUGGGAGUGCAGCUAGUAUGCUUUGACCAAAUGAUGCUAAAAGCAGGAACGAUCAAAUAAAAACAAUCUUUAAUGGGGAUAAUUAACUUGGAUUUAAAAAAUAAAACUCCUAUGCUUUGGGAUGCUAAAUCCUACUACUAUUAGUUUCUCUGUAACAAAAUGCCACUGUUUUAUGGUACUUUUAUGCCACUUGAUUUUUCUUUUGACUUGCAGGCUUACCACAAAGAUUUAUUGGACCACAUGCCACCUCCAGUUGCUCAUGUUAUUCGACAUCCACCACCAUUACAUCGUGAUAGUUCAGCUGGGAGAAACCCAAGUAAAAAUUCAAGGCGUGGAAGAGAUAGGAGAUCUGGUUCAAGGCAACACCGCAAGGCUGCUGCGGGUAACAGGGAGAAGCAAACCUUUUUGUAGGAGAGGUAAAAGUAGGUGUUUUUUAUUUUUUUUCAUUAUACUGCACGGGGAAGAUGGAUUUGGUUAGAAGUAUUUAGAAUGACCCAAAAACAAAAGCAACCGAAAUUUUGUUUGAAAUUAUUGAUAUCUCAUAUUCUUUCAUUGUUGUAAAUACUUCAUACCAAAUAAGUCCACACCAGCUGCAAUCAUUGAAUGCUUCUUGAUUUUCAUUUACUUGGUGCACGAACAUGCAUUGGCCAUCACUUGUGUAUCUUGAAAAUGUCAGCUUUCAUGCUUUAUGCGUUGUCCAGUUAUAGAAAUGGAAGAUAUACUUUCUACAUUGGCCAUCACUUGUGUAUCUUGAAAAUGGCAGCUUUCAGGCUUUUUGCGUUGUCCAGUUAUAGAAAUGGAAGAUAUACUUUCUAUCCUCUAUACAAUAAAUACCGUGCCAUCCUGAGUGCGGAGCGACUAAUCCUUGUUCUUAGGAGUGUUGUUCAUCUUCUCUUUUGAGCUAUUAAGAUGCACUGCUUAUUCUGCUUUUCUAAGCUUGAAUCUGAUCUUUCCUUCAUGUGUUCUUCCAAGGUUUUGGGAAUGAGUUGUUUAAUUCUAGGGCAUUUGUAAGAUGAGAAAAUCUUAGUGUUUUCAGGCCUACGGAAUGUUUCCUAACCUGUGACUGUACAAGUAAAUAGGAAGAUUUCUGAACUGGCCUCGUCCAUGCUCUUACCUCAAUACCCAGAUUGAAAAUUUUGGUACCCUAUAUGUUGAAUCUCAUGUUUCUCCACUCUUAUCAAAUCCUCAACUAAAUUCAAAAGCAGGAAUUGAAAGUGGAAGGAUAGAUUAUCCUUCAACCCUACAGACAGCACAUAACAUGAUCCUUCAACCCUACAGACAGCACAUAACAUGAAAGGGUCUCACAGGAGAGGAGAGGAGAGGCCUAUCAGCAAGAUACAAGUUCCAGUGGUGAGAAUCGACCAUACACUUAAAAUAACAUACAAUGAAGUAUACCUGCAAAAUAUAACAGCUGUAUUGAAUACAAUAAUGGCUUCUUCUCUGUGAUGAUAAUAUAAUAAUGUGGUUUUGUCAUUCGAUUUGCAUACAGAACAGAGCAAUACAGCUUGAGAUAUGUUAAAAGUAUUCUAUGGAUCCAUUUUUUCAAGUGCAUGCCGAAAGCACUUUUGACAAUUAAAAGCAACCUCAAGUUUUAGCAAGUUCGAGUUAAACUAUAAAGGUUCACACUUUUUAGGCAUUGAUUCUCAUUUUCUGUUAAUUAUUUCUUACUCUUACAGUUCAUUUUAUAAACAAUUUUCUUAAUUCGAUGAUAAAAGAAAUAUCUUCCUAGUAUCAGUUAAAAUUUGAUAACACCUGCAGCUCAACUAAUAAGAUGCAUCGAAGAUGAUGUUGAAGUUAACAAAUUGUCAUGACACUUCCUGUUAGCUUUUUUCUCUUGUUUAAAAUUAUUAUUUUGAAAUUAUUUUAAUAAGCUAAUAUUAAAAAUAAAUUUUAAAAAAUAAAAAAAAUAGGACAUGAUAAAAGUUAUAUUUAUUACACCCUCUGUAGAUUUCUCGUGAGGAAGAAAGGUCGUGUGAACUUGAUCCUCCUACAUGACGAUACAUGGAUUCUAACUUCCAAAAAGCAAAAAUAAAAAAUUCCAAAAAGAGCUUUUCUUCUACAUUUAAGAUAAUUAGAAACACAAAGGGUAGAGGGUCGGCCAGUGAACAUGUGACCCACAAAUGUGGGAUUGCUAAGCACAAGAAGCAAAGAAAGGCAUAAAAAAACGAAGGCAUUUUGUGCAUGGGAGGAAGGUAUGGUAUGGGAUUAUUGAGAGCAAGAAAUCUCUAUGGAUUGCCACUUGAAAGGAUAUAAAACACCAAAUUAUUGCUUUCUCUACCACCUCUCUGUCCAAAUCUACAUACCUUAAUUAAAUAAGUCUGAGCCCACAGAAUUAUUAUAUCCAUUAAUUUAGCUCAAUUAUUAUAUCACCCAUAAAUGUCACAUCCAGAUCAGCACCAAUAAUUUUACCUUCCGUUCCAGUUUCAUUUCCCUUCAAUUUGUUUACAGCUUUAGGGUUUUGGGAUGCAAAAGGGUUUCCUGGAUCUGUCUCUCAACAUCUUGAAUUUGAGGUUAGGAUCCUAUAGUCUUUUAUUGGUGGAUUAAAGGGGUCUUAUAUUGAAAUUUGAGGUGGGGUUUAUGUGGGUUUUUCUUGUUUAAUACACUUUGAUUCAAGAUUUGUUUUCUUGGUACAAUUGGUGGGGGAGAUCAAGUUAUGGUCUUGAUUAAUGGGUUUAUCUUGGUUUUUGAGUCUUGGGUUGCUAUCGAAUUCUGGGCUUUAAAUCUUGAUCAAUGAUUCGAUCGUCUUUCUUCAAGAUCACACAUUUAAAAAAGUAGGUUUGAGGGCUCUUUCAAUAGGGUCGAUGUUACUCUUUUCUUGUAUUGUACUUUGGUAGCUAUGGUUUAAAGGCCUUUUCUUGUUGGGUUGAGCCAUUGUUUCUGAUAGAGUUAAAGAAAGGAGAGGGGAGAGUAGUUCUUUUUGGUGCUUGAUUAAAUGGGAUCCUCUGGCUUCUUUCUGAUAUGUAUGCUUCAUUCUGUGAUGGCUCUAACUUGUGGAGCUUUGAUGAUGUUUUACACAAAUGAGGCCACUGUGUUUGGUCAUGGCAUUGAAAUAGCUACAAAGCUUAAAGGUUCAACACCACAUGACCAACUCCUGGUCCAAACCUCUGAUUCCUUUUCUGGGUUGCUAUUGUUUGCCAUUGGGUUCCUUUUGUUCAUGGUGGCAUUUGUUAAGGACAGAGAGUUCCAGAGUUUCUUUGCUAAAGGUUGUGUCUUGCUACAUGUUUCAAUGGCUUUCUGGAGGAUUUACUUUGAGAGGAAGCUUGAAGAUCUGGCUCGUGAUUUGCCUAGACUAGUUGUUGGUGACAUUGCAUUGGCUCUUUCUUGGGUUUUCUUUCUUGUUUAUUCUUGGAGAGAGAAGUAUGAUUAGCAAGCUACAAGAGUCAGAUAGCCAGUCCAUCAUCGAAUAAAUUUGAGCUGUUAUUGUGGUAGCGUUACGGGUUCUGCCAAGUGGGAUCUUUUUUCCUGGCUCUGUUCUGUAAAUUACAGGGUGAAUCUGGAACUUUAAAGAAAUGGACGCAAAGCAUGGAUCGGAUUCUUGGUUAGUGCGCGUUUUAAAUUCUUGAUUGGAUCUUGAACAAGCUUGGAUUCCAAGAAAAGCUGGAGAUGAGAUCUGGGGGCUGCCAUUUUGUUUUUAAUUGAGAAUCUUCAACUUGAGAAGUUUCUUGCACUUACUGUGGUGCCUCUGUGGGCUUCUUGUAUUGAAUUUCAAUGGCAUUUGUAAAUCAACCUUCUUCAAAUAGAUAUUUGAUAAUAAUUAGAAAUGUGAAUCCCAUAAAAGUUUACUCGUUUGCUGCCAUCUCUUACUUUCCUGGCAAUCUUUUCUUGCUAUUUUUCCAGUCUAUUUGAUUUACUGAUAUUGCAAUUUGCACGCAUCCGCAGCUUUGAGUUUGGGACAAAACUAUGCCAAGACAUUUCCAGGAUUUUGUUAAGCAAUCCGAGGGAGGAAUGAUUUGUCUAAUUAAUCAAACGGCAAGAACUGUAAAUGGAGUCACACCAACUUUUAUUUUUUUAUUUUUUGGUUGUAUAUAUUAUAUGAAUUCUCAUCAUAUUAUAUCAUAUUAUUCGAGCUAUUUCCUCUUUGCAUUUCAAGAAUAAUUUGGAAAAAAAAAUAAUUUUAUUUAUUUAUUUUAAAUUAAUAAUUUUUUAAUAUUUUAAUAUUAUUUUGAUAUAUUGAUAUUAUUUAUCAUCAUAUUUUACAAGUUAUUUUGUAUUUGUAUUUUAAAAAUAUUUUUUUAAAAAAAUAUUAUAUUAUUACUAUUUUUAUUUAUUUUAAAUUAAUUAUUUUUUGGUGUUUUCAUAUUUUUUUAAUGUAUUAAUAUUAAAAAUAAAAAAAAUAUUAUUUUAAUAUAUUUUUAAAUAAAAAUUAUUUUAAAAAAUAAUUAUUAUUAUAAAAUCAAACAGAAUUUUAAUCUUUUAAUUUAUUGAAGAUUGACCUUAAUUUUUGUUGCAAACAUAAAAAAAAAAAGUUAUAAAGAAGGGGGAUUAUACGACUUCUUAUCUUUUCCGAUGCUGAAAUUUUAUCAUUCUAAAAAUAAUAAUUAUUAUUCCUAUAAUAAUAUUUUUUAUUUUGAAAAAUAACUCUUAAAUUUAUAUGGAAGGAAAACUAAAAUUUAUUGAAAAUUAUUUUUAGUUGGUUUGAGAGUGUGAUUAUUUUUUAAAAUAUUUUUAAUUUAAAAAUAUAUUAAAAUAAUAUAUUUUUUAUAUCAUCAAAUCAAAUAAUCUAAGAAAAAUUAAUUUUAUUAAAAAAAAAGAUUUAGCUUCUGUUUCAGCCGCAAUCCGAGUGCUUAUUCUACGUUAAAAAGAAAAGUAUAUGCUGUUAUUGGACCAUGAAGGCUCGGCCCACGGACGCCACAACAUCUUGUCUAGGGACCCGUUUCUUUCUUCUUCUUCUUCUUCUCUCUCUCUGAAGUUUCUAGCAUUCAACCACAACAGAAACCCUGCAGAGCCCCAACUCCUGAAACCUUUGACAAAAUUCUAACGGUAACUUAUUCUUUUCUUUUGCUCUUUCUAUGUUUCCUUGUGUUCAUCUGUUCAUUUAUUGUCUUUUAAGUUGUAGAUGGUCUGUUAUGGUUUAGUGUUUUGCUUUGUUUCUGGUUUUAUUGUUUGAAUAAACUUUUUUCUUUUUCUUUUUUCAGAAUUGUUAUUUGCUUUUGUUUUUUCUUUAAUUCUAAUUGUUAUGAGGAAAGGUCAUCAAAAGCUCAAAUGGUUUUAUCUUGAAGAUGAUUUUUUAGUCAAGAAUGCAAUUUUGUAAUGGCAAAUGAUUAUAAUUGGUAUCAUUAAUUGAUUUUGGUUUCUGGGUAUAUGUUUUGCAUAAAUUUCAAUAUUUAGGUUCCGUUUUAAAGAAGAUACUGUAGUUUUCAAGAUAGUUGAGAAACUGAGAACAUGAUAGACAUGAUCUUUCACUGCUAUGAAAAGGAUGAUCAUGCCGGAGUUCUUAGAGAAAAAGGUCGGAUUUUUACUCGAGGAAAAUGAAUUAUUUAUUUUUUUAAAAAAAAAAGUUUGGUUACUUGAAGUUAUUGAUUGGGAAGCUUUCAUACUGUUGGUUCUGAACUUGGGUGAAGCGCAAUUUUGAACUUUUUAAGUUUCUAUUUUCUGUAUGUUGAUUUUGGGUAUAUAGUUAGUCAGUUGCAUAGAGUACUGCUAUAUAACACAAAAAUAAGUUAGCGAAAAGUUCACAAGCAGAUAAAGUGGCCAGAGAAGUGAUUUCGUUCAACUUUUGGGCUAUUUAUUUUUUGUGCCUGUUCGUGUCCUAUUUGUUACAAAAUAUUCGUGUUAUACAGCUUUCUUCAAUUGGGUAAUUGAGAAGCUUGGUUGAGUUAAGUUGCUUCCUGGAUUUAAAAAGAAAUGGGGUGUCUUUUUUGAGUGGUUGUUUCCUUGAACCCAUAUAUAAGUGCAUUUAUAUUAGGCUUUUGUGAUUGCUUCUCAUGACUGUGUCAGAAUCAGAUUCAUCGGUUUGAUUGAGUAUAAUGUUGACAGAUUUUUGGCCAAAUGUCUAAUUUUUAUGAGGGGAAAUGGGAAUAUGAACAAAAACAAACCUUUCAUGUUGUUGAUUUACCACGCGGAGUACUUAAUCAGGUCUUAAGUUUCUGUCUUAGUAAGCAAAACAGCACUUAAUGGUAUGGCAGUGUUUCAAAUUGUUUGAUGGAGUCGGAUAUCAUACUGAAUUGCUUGUGCUAUGAGCUGCAUUAGAAGGAUGAUUAGUGAUCCCUUUGUAGGAAAACAAAUUGGGAUAUGAGCAAAUCUCAUAUGGUGGAGGACAGUCAUGCAAUGGAACAUCUGAACAAAAAUUUUGAAUUGUUUUAGUGGAGUUGAUUGAUUGGACAAUUUGUAGAACAAGGACUCCAGGUGGCAAAGGCAUUAAUUGGCAAAAAGAGAGAAAAGAAAAGGUGCACUUUUUUCUGAUGAAGAAAAAGAUGUCUCUAUUCACAACAGAAAAAAUCUCCUCUUUUUUUUUUUUCUGAUGAACCAAGCAAUUGCAAGCAGCUAGUAAUGAACAACAAACAAUACAGUAAUGAAGAAAUAGAUGUCUCUCUAUUCACAACAGAAAAACUCUCCUCUAGUGAAUUGUAUAAUCAUUGGAAUUAUAACAACGAAAAAAAACCUAUGUAAUGAGUUUAUAAAUAGAGUAGAGGCUCUUGAAUGAUUUUCUUCAUUCCUUUCUUUAUUUCUUUAUGCCUUACAUGUGUUUUCUGCAGAUUUGUGAUGGGUGGACUGCCUUUGCAAAAUGCUUCCCCUACCCCAGUUGUCAGCCAGGUGUCAGUAAUUACAAAUUCUACUAAAGAAUCAAAGCCCAAGAAGAAGAUCUGCUGUGCUUGCCCUGAAACUAAGAAACUAAGGGACGAAUGCAUUGUGGAGCAUGGUGAAGCUGCAUGCGCAAAAUGGAUUGAGGCUCAUCGACUGUGCCUCCGUGCUGAGGGCUUUAACAUUUGAGUUUGGUAGAUAUGGUUUAGUUCAUAAAUCAAUACCAUUUUGGAAUAUAGAAUACUUGUUUUGGAAUUACACAUACUGAAUAGGAGGAAUAAAGCUAGAAAACACAGGUUUUCUUGACCUUCUGUACUUGCAGUCAUUUUUAUCUUCUUGAAUUAUGAUUUCUUUCCUUCCUCUGUGACAAUUGAAAAUGAUCAGAAUCCUUGGGUGGGGUUGAUAUUGUGUUGUCUCUUCUCUUUGUCAGUGUUAUCUGAUUAUUUUUUGAACCUGUGAUUUUACAGGCAGAGGAAAGUUGUUCCUCUGAUGUAUUGCAUUCCUUACAUGCCAAUAACUCUCCCAUUUGUGAUUCCUUAUUUAAAUUCCAUUACGGUGUUAUGUAUUGUUCUGAACUUCUGAUGAUAGAUUAUAGACUCUCAUCUCGUACUUAUGCAAGCUUAUCCUCACAUGUUGAUUGUUAUCCUUACAAGUAGCAGUUGCUAAGGAUGAAGUGAAAAGUUAUAAUCUGAAGUGUAUUGUCCAGAAUUAGACAUUCUCAUCAACUUUGCUGCAACCUGAAUUAUCCUCUCUGUCACUUUUGAGCCAUUAUAUCUCCCUUGAACUCAAGUGAGCUUGUCGAAGGGCUGAGAAGCAACUCUGAGAGGAUAACUCUGGGUUAGAACGUCUAACUUGGACAAUGCAUCUUCAGACAAUAACAUCUCUUAUCUUCUUAUUUCAUCUUUGCAACUUCUAAUCACUGCAUGCCAGGCCAGUUCUAUCUUCUUUGUCAAUAUCGAGAACAGAUUCUCCUAGUUUUAUAACUCGCGAGUUCUAUCUUUUUUAUUCAUUGCUUCCUAUGCUAAUUGUCAUUUAGUUCAGAGAACAGAUUCUCCUUUUUUUUUUUUCCUUCCUUAUCUGUGUCCAUUGGCUAUAAAAUGGAAAAGGUAAAUAAGAAGAGAAAUCUAGACGUGUGAGUUCAAAGAGUUGGUUGACUGCAAGAAUUUCAAACUGGAAGACAUAUUAGGUCAUCUUUCAUGGUAUUUCAAAGCUUGUACACUACAUUUCAGAUUGUUUGCCAAAACUUCAGUGAUGAAACAGGAAAAUGGAAAAAACCCAGUCUUCUUCUCAUGUUUCUUUUACGUUUUAUGUUUGUAGUCUAGUGAUAAGUUUAUGCCCCUCCUUUAUGGUAUUUGCACUAUUUUGGUCGUUCUACAUGCUGCGGUUAAUUUUCGAUUCUAUUUGGUUUUUACUCAAAAUAAAAAAAUAAUAAUAAUAAUAACUAAACCAAAAGUUUUUAUUAUUUUAAAUUAAUAACCGAAACUGGUUCAAACUAGUUAUUUUAGUUCGGUUCAGUUAAUUGAAGGAAAAAACCGAUUUAAUAAAACUAUCGAGUGUUAAAUCCCCUGCUGCGAAUCACUUCAUUCUAAUCCAGAAAUAGCAUAUUAUCCCGAACGUAAAUAAUAGGAGUAAUAGCAUAAAAAGGAAGGAAAAAAAAACAUAUUUUCUCCCGAUGGAAGCGUAAGUUUCUUCAAUAGGCUUUGUCCAUUGCAGAAGUGUUCCACCAGCGUCCAACAAUAAUGCAUCAUAUGCUUUUUUAACAUACUUUAUUGCUCCUGUAAUGUAAUGAAACAAAGUGAACGAAUCUGAUCUAUUGAAAUAGUGUACGCAUUUAUAUAUAUGUACUAAUAAAUAAAUAAAUAAAUAAAGCACUAAGUAGAAAGGAAAAGUGACCAGACCAGCAGAGUGGAUGGCAAUGGAAGAAGAGCUUGAUAGCUUCAAUUUGAUAGGUUUCAGAGCUUUAAGCAAAUAGUUCCCAUGACAUUGGCCAAACGGGAAAUGGAGAUUUAGGAAUGGAAUUGAGCAAAAUAAAAGAAAGAUAUACCUUUAAAGAUUGCUAGAUACCUUUGUUUUUUCUCGAGACUUUGAACCUUAAAACUGGAGAAGACAAGAAACCAGAGAAGGGGAGAUGCGAGAACUGAGAUAGAGAGAAAACCUGGAGGAGGGCGGCGGCUGGGUUUGACUUGGCCUUUAGAGUUAGAAGAAAAGUUUAUAUUUAUACUGUUUUUCUUUCAGUGGUGGUUUUCUUGCUCACCCCUAAUUACCAUGUCGUGGAACAAAUUAGGAUAAGAGUUGUAUUGAUCUCAAAUAAGCUGAUGCCGUCGUACCAGAGAGCUCAUGAAGAAAAAAAUUGAGGAGUUCCAGUGAAGAUGAUACGCAGAAUAAUCUUGAAUUUAGAACAGUACUAGUUGGCAAAGAAGGAACAAAACUGAAAUGCAUGGUAAAUGAUUUAAAAUUGUGAGAAAGAAAUCGGGAUUCAAUGAUUUUGUUUUGAAUUUGAUGUUCUUAAUUCCUUUCUUCUUCCCCCGUGUCUCCAACCCAACGGUGUCUUGUUUCUGAGUAUGAAAGCAGGAUUCAAUGAUUUUGCUUUGAAUUUGCUGUAAUCAAAGCAAAAGAGGAACUGCUGGCUUGCCCUGAAACUAAGAAACUAAAACACGACAGCAUUUUGGAGAAUGGUGAAGCUGUUUGUGUGAAAUAGGUUAAGACUCAUUGUCCAGUGAGGACUUCAACAUUUGGCAAAUGAAUAUCACUUCGAGGAUAGAACAGAUACGAGGAAUAAAGCUAAAAACCGCAACUUUGCUUGACUUUUUCAUAUCUUCAAUCAUUUUUUCUUGGAACUCCACUAACAAUUGAAAAUGGCCAAAAUGCAUGAAUGAGGCCUUGAUACUGUGUUUGUCUCAUCUCUUUGUCGAUGCUUUAUUCUUGUCUGUACAUGUGAUUUAACAGGUAGACUAAAGCUCCUUUCUCCAAUGUAUUCCAUUCCUUAAGAUGCCAUUGAAGUCUUCCAUUCAUUUAUGAUUCCUUCUUCAUAUUCCUUAAUCAAUGGUGUUAGAUAUUGUUCUCAGCUUUUCUUACGAUGGUUAUUGACAAUUUAUCAUAAGGAGAUCUAAUGGCUGAAAAGCAAGUAACCAAGGAUGGAUAAUUAUUCUACACGCUACUAUAAAUUGAUCUAAAGGUCUUCAGACAGUAACCCUUUCCCCGAUUUCUUCUGUUCAUCUUUUACGACCACUAAUCAUUGCAUGCCUUGCUAGUUGUAUGAUCAAACAAUUGCUGGCCAGGUUACGUACUUUCUUGUGAUCCUUUUGAGUAUUCUCUUUCGCAAUCACUUGAACAUAUUGCUGGCCAUGCCGUUUCUCUUCGAGUUCAGAGAUCUCAGAUUAGAUUCUUCCAAUUUAACUUUCUUUUGCUUUUGGGUUUAUCUUUUAUGACUUCUCAUUGCUGCGUGACAUAUUUCUUGUGGAAUCUUUAAGUGUUGUGUGCAUUAGCAGAAAAUAAAAGGAAAAAAAUAAUCUUGACACGAUCCCAACGAAGAAGAGUUGAUUGCAAGAUUGUGGUCUGGGAAAAAAACUGAUUUCUUAAGCAAUAACGAUCUCAAAUUAACUUGCCUAAUUAUUGUAAUGCUAUCCGAUUGUAAUUCGCUGUGGUGAAGCUAUGCUUUCAUGCAUCAAAUUUUAUGCCAUUUGAUCACAGAGCAUACCGCUUGAUAGGCUAUGAACUCUAGAUUAAUAAAGUUCAGCAAUAUUCUUGCUCUGGUAGUCUAGGUCUACUUUAGCCAUGGAGACAAUAUAGUUGUGAAGUAAAUGAUUAGAAAGAUGAGAGAAGCAGAGUACUACACUAAUUAUAAGACUUCAUUAAAACCACACCAGAGGCCACAGACAUGGCCAAUACAUAACAAUGAAGAAGACACAAAGAUAAAGACACUCACGGACACUUUUGUUUGUUCACUCCACACCCACAAGUACAGAAGAACACAGAUUAUUUAUCAGAAAUUACAUUAUUAAUCCACUCCCAAUCCCACAUCAAACAUGAUAGUUGAUGUGCUUGCUUAAUGACCGCAUGUGCAGGUAGUGCAAGUGCAGCCAGUACCGCAGUUGCACUUGCCAUCGUUCUCAGCUGCUGGCACCUCCAUGACUACGGAGGAGACAUAGCUGCAAAAAGAAUUAGACUCCAUUGUAUUAGCAUCGUGUUCCCAUUUCCUUCAUUAUCAAUCUUAACUGACGAACCAAAAAUGUUUAGGAAUAAAGCAAUAUAUAUUAUUCAUUCUGCUUAUUAAUCAUCAGUGCAUGCUGAAGCUUCAAUCAUGUCUCUCAACGCUAAUUAAGACUACGACAACAGGACUUUAAAGAUAGAGAUGCGAAAGUUACUUCUUCUCAGUCUCGACGAUGCCAGCAGUGUAGCUGCUUCCCUUCUUGCUGCAAAUUAAUCACAAAUUGCAUGGCAUGAGAGAGCAGAUAGCAUAAUGUAUGCACGAAAGCCAUGCAGAAACAUGAACUACCUACUAUACAGCUUGCACAACAUAUAUAAACCAUAAACAAGCAAGAGCUGCUUAAUCAGGUUUGCAAAAGAAGGGGAAAAAAAGAAGAAGAAUUCUUACACACACUGGGUCUUGUCAGCGCAGUCGCAGGUGUCGCAGGUGCUAGACAUGAUGAUUGAUUGAUUAAGCUUAAAUGGAUGAACUAAAAGACUUGGAGUAUGAAUGUGUUCUCUGUGUAGCUUAAUGAGUUGUUAUAUCUUCAAGCCCUGCUCUAUUUAUAGAAGGAGAGAGCGCAUCAGUAAUGGCUGCGAUGAAGAGGAAGGGCAAUUGUGGGACCCUCUUAAGGCAUGAGAGAAGCACACUCUUCUCGAGGAAACGUCCGAAGGAAUCUUGA